UGCUGCUGGCCAGAGCUCUUUUCACAUUGUGCUACUGUCUGCACCUGUCACUAGCAGUGCAAUGUUAAAAGGGCAUUGGCCGGGUAGUG
ensembl:miRNA microRNA 130a